rnacentral:rRNA from 1 species
GAUAAACGCUGGCGGCGUGCCUAAUGCAUGCAAGUCGAACGGGAUCCCUUUCGGGGGACGACCGUGGCGGACGGGUGAGGAGCACGUAGCUGACCUGCCCUGGUGUGGGGGAUAUCCUUCGGAAACGGAGUGUAAUACCGCAUACGCUUCAUUGGAGGGAUCUGAUGAAGGAAAGCCGAGAGGCGUACCAGGAGGGGGCUGCGUCCGAUUAGCUAGUUGGUGGGGUAACGGCUCACCAAGGCGAUGAUCGGUAGCUGGUCUGAGAGGACGAUCAGCCACACGGGGACUGAGACACGGCCCCGACUCCUACGGGAGGCAGCAGCAAGGAAUUUUCCACAAUGGGCGCAAGCCUGAUGGAGCAACGCCGCGUGGGGAUGACGCACUUCGGUGUGUAAACCCCUUUUCGAGGGGACGAGGCAUGACGGUACCCUCGGAAUAAGGAUCGGCUAACUACGUGCCAGCAGCCGCCGUAAU